UUAAGUUCAGCGGGUAUCCCUACCUGAUCCGAGGUCAACCUAGAAGAUGUGGGUUGCGUCGGCGGGGCGGCCCGAGCCCGGCGGACGAUAGAAUUGCUUACUACGUCUGCGAGUACGGGUCCGCACGCCAGAUCCCUUUGAGCGGGGAACCUCCGGGGAGGGGAUCUUCCGCCAUGACCAAGCAAAGGAGCUUGAGGGGG
rnacentral:misc_RNA from 1 species